AGAAAAAGCUCAGCCCAGAAUCGGAGAUGGCAAGCAGAACAGCUUGGAUUGUGGCAGCCAGCGUUGGAGCAGUGGAGGCUUUGAAGGAUCAAGGCUUCUGCAGAUGGAACUACACUCUGAGAUCUCUUCACCAGCAUGCCAAGAACAAUCUUGGGUCCCUCUCUCAAUCUAAGGCCCUCGCUUCUUCUUCUUCUUCUUCUUCAUCAUCUUCUUCUUCUUCGAAGAUGGGUGUGAAUACUAGUGGGGAAGAUGAGAAAAGGAAGAAGAAGACAGAGGAAACAUGGGGGAAAGUCGUGUACUUGAACUCCUGGGGUCCCCACUGAAGCAAUGGACCUCUACUUUUAAGGUGUAUUACAAGAGCGAAAAUGUAGUAGAGGGCAGAUUUUAAUGUAUACUUUCGAAAAAUUUAUCAGAUUUCAGAUUUAUUACCAGAAUGAUUGUGUUACCUUUCAUGAUUUUUGCCAUGGGAACACUUUCUUUGUUGGAUUUGAUUGCAUUUUAGCCUCUUCAAAAAAGGAGCAAUCAAGACUUUGAAACAAACAGCACUUAAAAGAUCCACCUUCAGUAUAUUGUAUAUUGUAUUUUAUAGUUUGUUUUGAAUUGAUUGAUCAGGCAUUGUUCAUCCCCACAUUCCCUUCCUCCCAUCAGUAAAUCUCAUAACUACGGUUUGGGCCUAAUUUCAUCUGGUUAAGAAAAUCAUAUUGAUGAUUAAUUGGCUAUUUAGAAUCUUAUCAUGGUUUUAAUAGAAUCCCCUUUAAAUUAAUAGUUUAUUAGAAUAUUAGUGCUUUAAUAUAUAGUAUUAGUUUAUAUUUGGAAAUAAUAAUUUUAUAUAAUAUUAAAAUUUGUUCAGAUUCUCUGUUCGUUUUCUUGUUUAUUAAUCUUAUGUUUGGGUUUUGAAAAAAUGAAAAAUUUGUGAAAAAUGUGAGAAAAAUAAAAAGUGAAGAAAUAUGAAAAAUGCAUUUAAAGUUAAUAAAAUAAUUAUUUUUAGAUACUUCAUUAAAUUUAUUUUAUUUUAUUUAUAAAUUGUAAAUACAUCAAAUAAUUUGAAAAUAUAAAUAUUUUUAAUUAAUUUUAAUUACUCUUUUUUUUCCAUAUUUUAUCAUGAUAAAUUAGAUAUGAUAAAGUCAGUUUUUUUUUCUUUCACCCUUUGUUAGGCUUUCCCAACCAAACAUAGCCUAACUUACUUGUUUGGAGUCUUUUGGACAGCUCACAGAAAUUAGUCAGCAAAUUGUUUUGGAUUGCCGCAUUGUCACUUCUGAAACCAGCGGUUUCACUCCUUUUACUCUUCUACAAGAAAACGGAGGGCACAUAUCUGGCAACUGCCACCAUAAUUGCCCCUAGUUGGGUCCAAACAUGCAGGUGAAGGUCCAAUCAUGCCCACAGCUAAUUUCCUUUAGCAUCACAAAUCCAAGGACAAAGUAGUCAUUCCAAUUCAAAUCAAUCAACCCAUGAAAACUGCUGGCCAAAGCCUCUGGUUUUUCCCAAACUUUGGGCACCAAAUCCAACCCAUCUCUUGCUAUAAAACCAGCCCACCUUGACUUCAACUUCUUCAUCACAAGAUUCACAACACAAACACUUUGAUUUAGACAGAGAUCUUCAAUAACCAUUCGCCACUCAGAAUCAGUUCUUUUUAUUGUUGAUUGUUGUUUUGAGUUUUGGAGAAAGAAAAUUAAGAAGAUGAGUCAUAUGGGGAAAGCUUGGAUGGUGGCAGCAAGUGUGGGAGCAGUGGAGGCACUCAAGGAUCAGGGCUUUUGCAGAUGGAAUUACACCAUGAGGUCUAUUCACCAGCAUGCCAAGACCAACCUCAGGUCCUUUUCUCGGGCCAAGAAGCUCUCUUCUUCCUCUUCUGCCAUGGUUUCUAGCAGAGUGAGAGAUGAGAAGGCAAAGCAGUCAGAGGAGUCCUUGAGGACUGUCAUGUACCUGAGCUGCUGGGGGCCCAACUGAGGAAUAAGAUCUGGCCGGGUAUGAAGAUGAUGAUCAUCCUACCACUGAAUCAUCCAUGGAGGGCAUAUCCCAAGAAAGUGAUGAGAACAAUCUUAGUUCCCUACUUCGCUCUCUCAAGCUAAGAGCCUCUCUUCUUUUUCUUCUUCUUCUGAUAAGACGGGUGCAAACAAUGGCGGGGAAGAUGAGAAAAGGAAGAAGAAGACACAGAAAACAUUGGGAAAAGUCAUGUACUUGAGCUCCUGAGUCCCCCGUGAAGCAAUGGAUAGAGAUUUUGGGACGUGAUGCAAGAGUGAAAAAUUUGUAGAGAACCGCAGAUAGAUAUGAUGAUAUUGAUUUCAAUGUGUACUUCCAAAAAAAUGAUAUCAAAUUUCAGAUUUAUUAUCAUAAUAUUGUGUUGCCUUUCAUCAUUUUUGCCAUGGGAGUUGUUGGUUUUCGAGAGGGUUAGAAACUAAUUCUAUUUCGGAAAAAAGGAAUCACCAUCUUUGAGCAGUUCGAAAUUGCCCAGAUCUAAAAAAGACCUCGAUAAAAUAUAAAAAUGUUGCGCAGCUUGAGAUAUUUUUGUUCAUGAUUUGAUAGUCAUUUUUAAAAACGUUUUUAUUAUUUUUAAUAUUUAAAUGACAUAUAUUAAAAAAUUAAAAUUUUUUUUUCAAUUACUAAACAUUUCCUAAAAUUAUUACCUUUUAAUACUUCUUGAGCCCUCUCCUAUACUUCUUUUUCUCAAACAGUCUUUCUCAAUUCCGUCCUCGAUCUGAAAGAAUUUUAGCUUCUUUGAGUCUUACAAAAUAGAACAAUCAAAGCAAGAUCCGUCAUUUAGACACUAGGCUCAAAGGUUUCAUUAACAAACGAUACACCCCGACAAUCAUUUCUCCUCUUAUGAGUCAAAUUCAUAAUUUUACCUAUUAUUAGACAUUUCAAUUAAAAAUGAUGAAUAAGUGAUAUAAGUGAUAUAGUUAAAUUAAAUCUUUUAUGAUAUUUGAUAUCUUAUAUUAAAAAUUAGUUGACUUAUUACACUUUUAUUUGGGUUUUAAAAAGGGAAAAUUGUUUUGGACCCAACUGGUCCAAAAAUUAACAUUUGGUCCAUGUAACUUCCAUAAUUGAUAGAAAUGUUAUAAAAGGUUAAAAGACCAAUAUAUCUUUCAAAUUUCUAUAUAUAUUACUUUUUAAGGGUAUAAAAUAGUGAUGGACUAAAAUACCCUAUGACCUUUGACAUAAGUUUUUUUUUUCUUUAUUGCACCACUAUUCAUGCAACCAUAAUAAUUAUAUUUUAACAAUUUAGAUUUUUCAUUGUUUUUAAUUUUUUUUAUAAAUAAUUGAAAAUCAGCAUUAUUUUCUAUUUUAAAUUAUAAAUAAAGAAAAAUUAUGUUCAAAAACUAUUUUAAAAAACACUUUCUAAAAAAAUGGUAAUAUGAUUUAUAUUUUCUAUAUUUUCUUUUUGAAAAAACAUUUAAUUAAAAAAUGAAAAUUAUUUUUAAAAAUAAAAAUUGAAAACCUUGUUUAGUACUAUUUUUUUAUAUGAAAAUAAUAAAAAGAAUUAAAUUUCAUUCCUUGAUUAUCUAUUUUUAUUUUUUUUCCAUUAGUUAUUUUAAUAAUAAAAUAUAAAAAAUAUAAUAUGUUUACAAUUAAACAAAGAAAUUGAUCAAUUAUGUGUUUUUUGUGGGAAUAUCUUUUACAUGAAAAAUAAUUAAAUAACUAAAUUAUAUAUAUAUAUAUAUAUAUUACUCUUUUUAAUUUUAUUUUCUUUAUUUAUUUUUUGUCUAUUAGAAAAUUUUAAUAUAUCCAUAAUUAACAAAGUAAUAAAUCAAUUGUGCAUAUUUUAAUCUAUUAAAAUAAAUUAAUUUCUAAUUUAAAUAAAUAAAAUGAAAUAAGUAAAUAAAUUUAGGGUUAUUUCUAUUUUUUAACAUAUCUUAAAUUAAUAUUUUUUAUGGUUAAAUAAUUUUUUUUAAUUCCAAAAAUAAAAUUAAAUAAAUAAAUAAAUUUUAUAUUUUCUAACUGAUCUUAUAUUCAUAUUUCUUAUGGUUAAAUAUAUUUUUUAUUUUUUUCUUUAUUUUAAAAAAUAAAAGGAAAUAAAAAAAUAAACUUGGCUUAAAUAAUAGUUUUUAAUUAAUUUCUUUGUCUUAUUUUUAAUUACAUUUUGCAUUGAAAAUAAAAUAAAAUAACGUUUUAUUUGUUUUAAUUAUUUUAAAUGUCAAACUAUUAGGAACAUAGUUUACACACUCAUGUGGAUAUAAUUUAUACAUAUAUAUAUGAAGUUUAUACCAUUAUACAAAGUUAUUACACUAAUUAUAUAAGGGGUGUACAAAAUUGUACAUUUUGAACAACUUUCUUUUUUUUUUCUUGUCAUCUGAGAAUUAUACGUUCUCCUACCACAAAUUCAUAUAACAAUUCAAAUACUUACCUUAAUAAUGAUGUUUAGAGAAAUUUUUUUUUUUUUACGUUUUAUAUCAUUUUUUAAAUCAAACCAUUGGAAACAUGGUUCACACAUCAUAUGUGACAUAUAAUAUAUGCAUAUGGAUGAAAUUUGCAUCAUUGUACAAGGGUGUUAUACUAACUAUACAAGGUAAAUGUUCAAUUGGACAAGACAAAUAUUCUAACUAUAUAAAACAAAUGUUCUAACUCUACAAGGGGUAUACAAGGCUAUCAUUUGUGAAAGAUUUUAAUUAAUUUUGGACAAUUUUUUUUUUUUUUUUUGUCUUGUCAUCUAAGGAUUGCACACUUUUAAGGUACACAUUCCUCUAUUACACAUUCAUCUUAUACACUUUAUUUAACUCGCACAUGAUAAUUCGAAUACUUAUCCUAUUAAUGAUGUUUGAGAGAAAAUUUUGUUUUUCCAUCUUCCACUAUUUUUUGAAACAAACCAAUGAAAACAUGGUUAAACUACCUAUGAUUACACGUUAAGUAGAGGGUAUAAUGAAUUUGAGUCACUGUACAAAAUAUUUACACUAAGUGUACAUGACAAAUAUACUAAUUGUACAAGGGUGUACAAGACUAUUAUUUGUGAAGGAAUUUGAGUGAUUAUGAAAAACUUGUUUGUUUAUUUCCUCUAACCGAGGAUAAAUGACAUUCCUUACACACAUUGGUUAAACAUACAUUCAUUUCAUGCACUUUAUUUAACUUGUAUAUGGUCAUUUGAAUAGGUACCUCACUUAUGAUGAUUGUAAAACAAAAUUAUACAAUAAUUUUUAUUCUUUUUUAAAACCAAACCAAUGCAAACAUGGUUAACCGACCUAUUGUCAUAUAUUCAUGAGAUAAUGUAUAAAAUUUGAGUUAUUGUAUAAGGGUAUUACACUAACUGUACAAGACAAAUUUACUAAUCGUACAAGGGUAUACAAGACGCUUUUUGUUAAGAAUUUUAAGUGAUUUUGAAAAACUUUCUCAUUUGUUUCCACUCAAAGAUUUUUUUCCCCACUCAAAUUCUCUCACUCAAGAAUUGUUUCGAAUUUUAUUUUUAAAUUUUAUCAACAAAAUUUUGUAAUUGCAUAUUUUGUUUUUAUAGUUUUAGCAAUGUUCUUUCUUUCCACUUUUUUUUUUUGUGAAAUUUUAUCCAAAUGAAUCUAUAUUUAAAAUUAUAAUCAUAUUUAUCAAAUUUUUUACUAAGAUUAUCUUUAAUUCUUUUAAUAUAUUUAUAUUCAUUUAUUUAAAAAAUAAAAAACUAAUUUUUUUUUUGUAAACAUGUUCUAUUACCUUUCAAGAAUUAGAUAAGUUUGAAAGUCAAUAAAAAUAAUUAAAUACCACUUUCAAUAAUUUUUAGAUAAAAUUUUAUAUAAUAUAUUUUAUUUGAAAUUUAAUUUCUAAAGUUUAACUAAAAAAUUAUAUUUACAAUUUUUUUGUUGUGAGUCAAAAUACUUUACAUUAGUCUAUUUAGAUAAGAAAAAUUAUUAAUAUAAUAUUAGAAUUUUGUAUCUUAGUUAUUUUUUUCAAUAAAUUUAUCUUUUUAAAAAUUUUAAAAUAAAAACAUUAAAAAUUAAAAGCUAAAAGGAGAUAUAUAUAUAUAUAUAUAUAUAAUAAAGUGAAGUGAUAGUCAAUUUUUAAAUUUUUUAAAAUAUGGUUAAUAUAGAAAAUAUAAAAAAUAAUUAAAAAUAAGAAAAAAAUAUAAAUGAAAGGGUAAUAUAAAUUUAAAAUAAAAAUUAAAAAUUAAACUAAAAGAUAAAAAAAAUAUUUGGAUGAAAAAUCCCAAAAUUUUUAUCAUUGCUUAUAAUAAAAGCAAAAAGAUUCAAUAUCUUUAAAAAUGAAAAACAAACUUUUUAUUUGACAUAAAAUAGAAAUAUAGAUCGGAAGAAAAAGAAAAAAAAUUAGAAAUGAGUAAUACUUUAUAGGGAAUAGAAAAGGGAAAAAAAACACAAAAAAAAAUUAAAAUUCAUAUUUACUUGUGCCUAUGUAAGAGUUAAAGGUAUUUUAGGGAUUAAUAAAAAAUAAUAUCCUUCAUCUUAAUUUUCAUACUUUGUUUGGGUCUUGGAUUUAAAUAUGUAUGAUAUAUGAACUAAAUGUUAAUUUUUGGAUUCGGCUGAACCCAAAACACGAUUCUCCUUUUUAAUAAAAUCCUAUUAUGUAUUAUUCAUUCAUUGAAUAUGGUAGCUUAACAAUUAUUAGAGGUUUAAUAUAAUAUUGAAAUUUGUUCACGUUUUUUGUUAGGCGAGCUCACAGAAUUUAAGUCGAAUUGGCUUUUAGAUUGCCGCUUUGGAAACCAGCGGUUUCACUCCUUUUUUGGCGACUGCCACCAUGAUAAUACUUGGUUGACCAUGCAUGUGGGUGAAAACCCAAUCAUGCCCACAUCUAACUCCCUUUAGCAUUACAAAUCCAAGAACAAAGUAGUCAUUCCAAUUCAAAAGCAAACAAAGCCAUGAAUACUGCUGGCCACAGCCUCUGGUUUUUCGUAAACUUAGGGCACCAAAUCCAAACCCAUCUCUUUCCUAUAAAACCAACCCACCUUCACUUCAUCUUCUUCAUCACAACCCAAAACACUUUGAUUUACAGAGAGAUAUUCAAUAUCCCAUUCACUACUCAGUAUCAGUUCUUUUACUGUUGAUUGUUGUUUGAGUUUUGGAGGAAGAAAAUUAAGAAGAUGAGUCAUAUGGGGAAAGCUUGGAUAGUGGCAGCAAGCGUGGGAGCAGUGGAGGCACUCAAGGAUCAGGGCUUCUGCAGAUGGAAUUACACUAUGAGGUCUAUUCACCAGCAUGCCAGGAACAGCCUCAGGUCUUUUUCUCAGGUCAAGAAGCUCUCUUCCUCUUCCGCCAUGGUUUCUAGCAGAGUGAGAGACGAGAAAGCAAAGCAAUCAGAGGAGUCUCUGAGGACUGUCAUGUACCUGAGCUGCUGGGGACCCAACUGAGGAAGCAGAUCUGGAUAUGAAGAUGAUGAUCAUCCUACCACUGAAUCUUCCAUGGAGGGCAUAUCCCAAGAAAGUGAUAAGAACAAUCUUAGGCCCCUCUCUCAAGCUAGGAGCCUCUCUUCUUCUUCUUCCUAUAAGAUGGGUGUGAAGAGUAGUGGGGAAGAUGAGAAAAGGAAGAAGAAGACACAGAAAACAUUGGGGAAAGUCAUGCACUAGAGCUCCUGGGUCCCCAGUGGAGCAAUGGAUACAGAUUUUGCGGUGCAAUAUAAGAGUAAAAAUUUUGUAGACAACUGCAGAAAGAUGUGAUGAUCUUCAUGCGUACUUCAAAAAAAUGAAAUCAGAUAUCAGAUUUAUUAUCAUAAUAUUGUGUUGCCUUUUAUCAUUUUUUGCCAUGGGAUCACUAUCUUUGUUGGUUUUGAUUGAAUUUGAGCUUUAGCAGAUGGAGCAAUCAAGAGUUUGAAGCAAAAAGCACUUAAGAUCCACCUUCAGUGCAAUAUAUUUUGUUUUGAAUUGAUUGUGCAGGCAUUGUUCACCCCACAAUCCCUUCCUCCUCUCAGUCAAACUCAUAACUAUGGCUUGGCUCUAAUUUCAAUUCUCAAACAUCUUAACUGAAAAUCAUACUGAUGACUAAUAACAAUAAGUUCAACCUUUUAUGGCCUUUUUUUUUUUUCGGAGUGAUUGUUUGCGUGAUUCAUUUCAGACUUAAAAGAAUGAUGUUAUUGUGCCUAUACACAAAUUUUAUACUCAUGGUUUUAAUAGAAUCCCGUUCACUAUGUGAAAUUAAUAGUUUAAUAUAAUAUUAGAGUUUUAAUAUAUAGUAUUAUUUUAUAUUUUGAAAUUAGUAUUUUAAUAUAAUAUUAAAAUUUGUUCAGAUUUUCUGUUCGUUUUCUUGUUUAUUAAUCUUAUGGUUGGGUUUGAAAAAUGGAAAAUUUGAGAAAAAAAAAUGUGAGAAAAAAUUGAAAAAUAUACUUAAAAUUAAUAAAUUAUUUUUAGAUGCUUCAUUAAAUUUAUUAUAUUUUUAUAAAUUAUAAUUACAUUGAAUAAUUUAAAAAUAUAAAUUUUUUAAAUUAAUUUUAAUGACUUUUUUUUCCUUCUUUAAAAUUUUCAUGAUAAACUAGAAAUUGUAAAAUCAUUUGUGUUUUUUUCACCCUAUGUUGGACUUUUCCGGCCAAAUAUAGCUUAACUUUAGGGUUGUAAUUUGGACAAGUUGAUCGGCCUGAUCAUUGAUGGUCAAUCCAGACUCAAUCCAACCUUAUUUUUAAAAAAUAAAGUUAGUUAGUGGAGUUAAACUCAAAUUGAUUAGAUUAAACUUUAUAUUAAAACUUGGAUUGAUUAGGUUAAAUUUUAUGUUAAAAUUUGGAUUGAUUGGUUUAAAUUUCACCUUAAAAUUUGGAUUGAUUGGGUUAAACUUGAGUUGAUCCAAUUGAUUGAUUGUGUUGUAUAAUUCAAAAUUCAUUAAUAAUAGUUUUUUUUUUAAUUUUAUACAUUUAUACCAAAAUUUAGUUAGUAAUAAGACAAAAUUUCAAACAAUAAUAAUAAUAAUAAUAAUAAUAAUAAUAAUAAUAAACUCAUUUUUUUUUUCAAAAAAUGAAAAAAAUAUACUAAAUGAUCACAAUUUAAUAUUUUUCUUUAAAAUUUUAAAAAUAAAUAAAUAUUAUUAUAUUAGAUAAUAAAUAUUAUAAAAACAUUAAAUUUGGUUUGACUCGGAUUAUAGCCUAAAUCUAAUUCAAAUUGAAUUUUGGUUGUGAAAAAACUUAACCCAACCAAAUAUUGGAUUAAGUUGGGUCAACCCGUCAAAGUUAUACCCGUGACUUGUUUGGGCAUCUCACAGAAUUUAGUCAAACAGCUGAAAAUUAAUGGACUCCAGUGGGCAGAGUAAGUAAAGCAAAUUGUUUUGGAUUGCCGCAUUGUCACUUCUGAAACCAGCGGUUUCAGUCCUUUCACCCUUUUAGCAGGAAAACAGGGGGCACACCUCCUGGCAACUGCGACCAUAAUAACACUUAGUCGGGAAUAAAAAUGUAGCUGAAAAACCAAUCAUGCCCAAAUGUAACCUACUUUAGCAUUACAAAUCUAAGGACAAAGUAGUCAUUCCAAUUCAAACCAAACAAACCCAUGAAUACUGCUGGCCACAGCCUCUGGUUUUUGCCAAACGUUGGGCACCAAAUCCAAACCCAUCUAUUGCUAUAUAACCAACCCAUCUUCACUUCAUCUUCUUCAUCACAACACAAACACUUUGAUUUACAGAGAGAUCUUCUAUAUCCUAUUCACUACUCAGAAUCAGUUCUUUUUAUUGUUGAUUGUUGUUUGAGUUUUGGAGAGAGAAUUAAGAUGAGUCAUAUGGGGAAAGCUUGGAUAGUGGCAGCAAGUGUGGGAGCAGUGGAGGCACUCAAGGACCAGGGCUUCUGCAGAUGGAAUUACACUCUGAGGUCUAUUCACCAGCAUGCCAAGAACAACCUCAGGUCCUUUUCUCAGGCCAAGAAGCUCUCUUCUUCCUCUUCCGCCAUGGUUUCUAGCAGAGUGAGAGACGAGAAGGCCAAGCAAUCAGAGGAGUCUCUGAGGACCGUCAUGUACUUGAGCUGCUGGGGACCCAACUGAGGAAGAAGAUAUGAAGAUGGAUGAUCACCAGCAUACUAGUGAAGCAUCGAUGGAGGGCAUAUUCCAAGAAAGUGAUACGAACAACUUAGUUCCCUCUUUCAAGCUAAGAGCCUCUCUUCUUCUUCUCCUCCUUAUUCUUAUAAGAUGGAGGUGAAUAGUGGCGGAGAAGGUGAGAAAAGGAAGAAGACACAGAAAGUAAUGGGGAAAGUCGUGGGCUUGAGCUCCUGCGGUCCCAGUGAAGCAAUGGAUAGAGAUUUUGAGGUGUAACAUAAGAGUAAACAUUUUGUAGAGAUCUGCAGAUAGAUAAGAUGAUUUUAAUGUGUACUUAAAAAAAUGAAAUAAGAUUUCAGAUUUAUCAUCAUAAUAUUUGUGCCAUGGGACUAUCUUGGUUAGUUUUUUAGAGGGUUAAAAACUAAUUCUACUUUGGAAGAAAGGAAUCACCUUCAAAUUAAGCCAUCUUUCGAGCAGUUUGGAAAAACCCUUAUCUAAUAAAGACCUCUAUAAAGUACAAAAAGGUUGUGCUUUUACCAUAAAAAAGGUUGUUUCAAGCCCGAGAACAUCAGAAAUCAUCAUGCCAAGGUUGAUAGAGUUGCUAACAUACAGAUAAGAAAUUUUACCCAAAAAAAUAAAAUAAAAAAAUUAAAGCUUUGUCUUGAAAAGUCUCUCAAAUUCAGAUUCAUUUUUGGAAGAAGAAUAAGAGAUAUCUAAGUGAAGUGAGGGGUUCGUGGACAGGAAAUUUAAGAUAUUUUAAUAAUCCAAUAGUUUUAUUUGAUUUUUAUCAUAGUAUAAUAAAAUAAUUCUCUUUUAUUUGUGGAUGUAAGUUAAUCAAAACAUGUUAAGAUCUCGUGUAUUUUUGUGUGAAUUAUUUUAUUUUUACAUUCUAAAAUUAAUAUUUUUGUAUUAAAGCUUACAUUGAUACCAAAGCUAUGUUGAAGAUUUGUAAAAGAACAAAAAAAAAAAAAAAAAUAGUACACAAAAAAAAUGAUAAAAUGAAUUUUAAUUGAAAGUGAAGUUGAUUGUUUCCAAAACAUGAUACAAAAAAUAUGUUAUGAAAAGAUGAAAAAUUAACUUAAUGGAAUUUGAUGUCGAGAUUGUUCAAGAGUGCCUUAAAUUCUUAUUAAUAUUGAUUGAUUUUUAUAAGGAAUAUUGUAUAUAAUAUAUUUUAAGUUAAUAUAUUAUUAUAAUAUUAGAUUUCUUUAUUCAGUAAAGAAAGUUAUUAAAAAUAUUUUUAUAAAUAUUUUAAAUCUUAUAAGAUGAAGAUUAACUUGUAAAAAUUAUAUGAGAUGGAUAAAGAUGUAUAAAAAAAAUGAAAGAUAUCUUGAAUGAUGUAGUGAAAUGAUUCUCUCAUUCGCAUAUAUAGGCAUGAUUCAUCGAAUCAUAUUAAAACCUCAUGUAUUUUCCGGUGGAUUGUUUUAUUUUUAUGUUUUUAAACCAAUAUGUUUGUGUUAAGAUUUUCCCUUACCCAACACCUUCAACCCUCUCUUUUAUUUAUUUUUUUCAUUAUAUUUAUAAAGAGGUUUAUCCAAAGAUCUCAAUCCCUUGUCCUCAUCUUACCGUCUUUGAUCUAUCCGAGGAAUUUUAGUUUCUUUGGUAAUGAUUAAUUUUGAAUCUUACAAAACAAAACAAUCAAAAGUUUGAAACAAAGCAAGAUGCAUCAUUUAGACAAUUGGUUCAAAGGCUUCAUGAUAGACGUUACAUCCCAACAGUCAUUUAUGCUCUUAUAAGUCAAAUUCAUAAUCCAAUGUAUUAUUAGUUCAUUAUGUGAAAUUAAUAACUCAGCUAACAUUAGAGGUUUCAUAAAACACUAGAAUUUGUUCACAUUUUUGUUAGGUGAGCUCACAGAAUUCAAGUCCAAUUGGCAACUACUCCAAAAGUGAAUGUUAUUGAACUCCAAUAAGCAACUUGUUUUAGACUGCCGCAUUGUGGCUUUGGAAACCAGCGGUUUCACUCCUUUCACUCCUUUAGCAGGAAAACAGGGGACACAUCUUUGGCAGCUGCCACCAUGAUAAUUCUUAGUAGGGACCACACAAGUGGGUGAAAACCCAAUCAUACCCACAUCUAACUCCCCUUAGCAUUACAAAUCCAAGGACAAAGUAGUCAUUCCAAUUCAAACCAAACAAACCCAUGAAUACUGCUGGCCACAGCCUCUGGUUUUUUCCUAAAGUUUGGGCACCAAAUCCAAACCCAUCUCUUUUCUAUAAAACCAACCCACCUUCACUUCUUCUUCUUCAUCACAACACAAACACUUUGAUCUACAGAGAGAUCUUCAAAAUCCCAUUCACUACUCAAAUCGGUUCUUUUUAUUGUUGAUUGUUGUUUGAGUUUGGAGAAAGAAAAUUAAGAAGAUGAGUCAUAUGAGGAAAGCUUGGAUAGUGGCAGCAAGUGUGGGAGCAGUGGAGGCACUCAAGGACCAGGGCUUCUGCAGAUGGAAUUACACUAUGAGGUCUAUUCACCAGCAUGCCAAGAACAACCUCAGGUCCUUUUCUCAGGCCAAGAAGCUCUCUUCUUCCUCUUCUGCCAUGGUUUCUAGCAGAGUGAGAGAUGAGAAGGCAAAGCAGUCAGAGGAGUCUCUGAGGACUGUCAUGUACUUGAGCUGCUGGGGACCCAACUGAGGAAGAAGAUAUGAAGAUGGAUGAUCACCAGCCUACAGCGAAGCAUCCAUGGAGGGCAUAUUCCAAGAAAGUGAUAACUCAUAAGUGGAGUGGAGAUCAGUUUCAUGGAAUUUUUCCUAGAAGACAAACAAGGUGGAAAUCCAGAAAUUAAUUAGAACCAACUGCUAAUAGUUGGCGUCUCUGAGUUAGGAAUUUGUUAGCAAAAGGCAGCUUUGGUAUAUAUACUAAUAUACGAGAUGAUUUCAAUGUAUAUUUGAAAUAGAAAUUAGAUUUAUUAUCAAAACGAUUGCGUUGUCUCGUCUUUUAUAUUUUCCAGAUCCAAACAGAUCCUAAAGGCCCUAAAAUUUUUGUUGUAUCAUUUUUAUGCUAAAAAAUUACACAUAGAAAAAUUAACUAAAUCAUAAGUAGCUUCUAACCAUGAAUUGUUUUUUUUUUUUUAAGCCUAUAAAUUUUAUGCUUUAGAUACAUGCAUUAAAAAUCUAUCUAAACCAUAUAUAAUUAUUUUAAUGCAGUUAUAUAACUGAUAAAAAUAGAAAUAAAUUUAAUAAAUAUAAAAUAAUAAAAUAUUAGGAUAAGUAUUGAAGAUCAAUUUUCAGUCUUCAAACUUAAUCGAACUUGAAAGUGGAUGGCGAUGGAUACAAUGAUUUGAGCCAGGUCUUAAAUCUUUAACUUAAUGGAGCAAUUAUUGUAAUCUACUUAAUAAUUGGUCAGUAUAAAAUUAAAUAAUAAUAAAAGGAGAAAGAAAAGGACACGUGUUUGACGUGGACGUUGCCAAAACAGCGGUUUCAGACAGGCCUUUUACUGCCCGAGCGCCAGUGGAUUAACAAAGAAAACAAUGAGCACAUCAGUGGAAGCGGCACCAGCUACCAAGUAUGCAGCUGAAAUGCCCCUUGGAAUUACAAAUCGAAGGACAAAAGAGUCAUUCCAGACCAACCCAGAAAUACAGCUGACCCCUGCCUCUGGUUUUUCCCCAAACCUUGUGCCUUUCUCUAUCUAUAUAAUCCAGCCCACCUUCUCUCCAUCUUCUUCAUCGCAACACAAACGCUUUGAUUUACUGAGAGAUCUUCCAUAUCAAUUCACUACUGAGAUUGUUGUUUGGGCUUUGAGUUCUUGGGAAAGAAAGUUAAGAAGAUGAGUCAUAUGAGGAAAGCUUGGGUGGUGGCAGCAAGCGUGGGAGCAGUGGAGGCACUCAAGGAUCAGGGCUUCUGCAGAUGGAACUACACUCUGAGGUCUAUUCACCAGCAUGCCAAGAACAACCUCAGGUCCUUUUCUCAGGCCAGGAAGCUCUCUUCUUCCUCUUCUGCAAUGGUUUCUAGCAGAAUGAGAGACGAGAAGGCAAAGCAGUCAGAGGAGUCUCUGAGGACUGUCAUGUACCUGAGCUGCUGGGGACCCAACUGAGACGUUCCACAUUUCGAGUGAUCAAGAAGAAGAUGAUGAUGACGAAAGAUUCAUGGAGGGAGCAUGUGAAGGAAGUCAUGAGAAGGGGAGAUGAAAACCAUUAAUGGAGAAGAGAGAUCCAUCUGUGGAUGAAGGCAGUGGAAAUUUGGAGCCGAGUGAGUCAUGGGUAAUGGUUCUUAUGAGUUGGGAAAUUAUCAGCAAAGUGCUUUCUCAACCUCAGAUGCUUUGGGAGGAAUGGGAAUUUACCAGAAAAUUGCAAGUACAUAUGUAUGAUGCUUUUUAUGCAUAAUUUGUCCGAAAGCAAUAAUAAUCAGAUUAAUUUUCAGCUAUACUUCUUCUGAGAUAUGGAAUUUGUUGGUUCUGAUUUAAUUUCAAUGAAAUUGAUUAUUUUGUAAUUCUAAAGAAAAUUGGAUUAUUCUGUAAAUUCUAUUAUUUUAUUGUUGUAUAAAGGUAAAUUCUUCUAUCAUUUGUUUUGAUAUAUUCAAAAUUAGACACAGAAAUUAAAAAAAAAAAAAAAAAAUCCACUAUUCCAAGCCAACCCGCAGCCCAAGCUGACGGGUGCAUCCAACCAGGUAGCCAUGUUCAGGGAAAACAGCGGUUUCACCCACAUUUUUACUCCUUGCGCAAUGGAAAAAAAAAAAGAAAAGCGAUUAAAGCCCAAAAUGCCCAUGUAUCUCUUCAUUUGCCAUUAGAAGUAUAUGCACAAAACAGUCAUUCCAUCCACCCCUCACCAACCCAAAAAUCCUGGUAACCACAGCCUCUGGUUUUCCCCCACACCUAUGUCUUUUAAACAAUGGGCACACUACUGCCGACUGCCCCUACGCUUACUGCUUACAUUAGUUGAGGAUGAGUGAUGGGGCCAAGGCCAACUAUGUAGGUGAAUUCCCAAUUAUACCCACCUGAAUCCGCCCUCAAUCUGACCAAUCCGAGGACAAACGUAAUAAUCAUUCCAAUUCAGAUCAAGCAAACCCAUGAAAACUGCUGGCCACAGCCUCUGGUUUUUUCCCAAACUUUGGGCACCCGAUCCAAACCUAUCUCUUUCUAUAAAACCAACCCACCUUCACCUCAUCUUCUUCAUCACAACACAAAACACUGGAUUUACAGAGAGAUCUUCAAUAUCCAUUCACUACCCAGAAUCAGGUCUUUUUAUUGUUGAUUGUUGAUUGAGUUUUGGAGAAAGAAAAUUAAGGAGAUGAGUCAUAUGGGGAAAGCCUGGAUAGUGGCAACAAGCAUGGGAGCAGUUGAGGCAUUGAAGGAUCAGGGCUUCUGCAGAUGGAAUUACACUAUGAGGUCACUUCACCAGCAUGCCAAGAACAACCUCAGGUCCUUUUCUCAAGCCAAGAAGCUCUCUUCUUCCUCUUCUGCCAUGGCUUCUAGCAGAGUGAGAGAAGACAAGGCAAAGAAAUCAGAGGAGUCCUUGAGGGCUGUCAUGUACUUGAGCUGUUGGGGACCCAACUGAGACCCACCAAAAAUUAGUAGAGAGUUGUAAACAUGUAUGAUGAUUUUUUUAUGUAUUUUUUUGAAAAAAAAUCAGAUUAGGUAUCAGAAAUUCAGAAUGAUUGUUUUUUGCACUUUGUUUUUACAUGCCAUGGGAUUUGGAGUUGGUUAGUUUUGACUGAGCAUGAAAGGCAGGCCAGGGUUUUAAAGAAUUGAAUCAUUCACUGGAGAUGGAAUCUCUCUCAGAGAAAUCCUUAUUCUCUACAACCUUGGCAAAUGGCAAGCCACUAAGAGGGAAAACACAAAAAAUAAAAAUAAAAUAAAAUAAUAAUAAUUGUAGAGGAGAUAUUUGCCAAUAUAUAAAACUUAUAUUUUUGUAUUAUUAUUGAAUAAAUUAGAUUUUAUCAUACACUUAAAUAAUGGAGAUACAAAUUCAAUAUAAUACUUUUUUUUUGGUUAAUUUUAAAAGGUUUCUAAGGAAAUUAAGUCUUAAUCAAACAACUUUUAUUGAUCUUUUACAAUAUGAAUUUAUCUCUUUAAAAUAAUUUUAAUUUAGCAUUUAAAAUUUUCCGUUGAACUUUUUCACCAAAUGAGAAGUAAAAACGUAACAGAGGAAUGCAGGACUUUAAAGUGAAGUUGUCUUUUUUUGAACAAGCUAACUUUAAGUCUCGUUUUUUAAGAGAACUUUUCAUAGAAUUUGAAUUAUUUAUUUAACGAUAAAUUUUCAUGAUUUUUUUUUUAAAUUUACACCAUUUUGAAAGGGAAACUUGUAUUUUGAUGGAGCAAUUUGGAAAAUAUAUGAUUUUUGGAAUCCAACUUCACGAAAUCUGAAAACUAACUUUUAAUGUGAAAAAUUAUAUAUUUUUCAUGCACUCUAAGUCGGUUGCAUAUUUUUGUGCUAAGAUUAUUUUUAGGUUUAGUGAUUUUCCAAAAUUAUCCUUUUUGUUUUUUUUUUUUUUCUCUUGUACCCAUCAUCUGCCUCUCCCUCCCUCCCCAGUGAAAUUGGUUGGUAUUUUGCCGACGUCAUCACCAACCGCCACCCACACUUCUCUCCCGUUGGCAAUCUCCUCCUUUCUCCAUUUCCUUCCCUCUUUCUCUCUCUCUUUCAUUCCCUUUCGACAUCACCAAGAGAGAAGAAGGCGGUGGCAAUGGUGGAGAACCGGGGUUGGAGGGAAGAAGGUGCGACUGGUUGCCAUUGACGGUGGCAACCAGUAACUCUCGCAGUCAUUGACAACGGUGGUGGUGGAAGCACCUAAGUGGGGAGAGACGUCAAGGAGAGGUGGGAGGGAGGCGGACGAGGGGACCACGUCUUUCCCUACGCUGGUGCUUUCGCCGUCGCCACUGUCAAUAAUCGUGAGAGUUGUUGGUUGCUGUUUGUCGCGCCUUCUUCCCUCUAGCCCUGGUUCUCCACCAUUGCCACUGCCCUCUUCUCUCUUGAUGAUGUCGAAAGGAAAUGAAAGAGAUAAAGAAAGAGGGAAGGGAAUCGGAGAGGGGGAAAUUAAUGAUCGGAGAAAUGUGUGAGUGACGGCCGAUUUCACAAGGGAGGGAGGAAGAGGCGGAUGGUGGUGGGUAUAGGAGGAAAAUAAACAAAAAGGAUCACUUUGGAAAAUCACUAAAUCCAAAGGUAAUCUCGACACAAAAUAUGUAGCCGGUUCAGAGUGCAUGAAAAAUAUAUAAUUUUCCAUAUUGAAAAUUGAAUUUUAGAUUUCAUAAAGUUGGAUUCUAAAAACCAUAUAUUUCUUAAAUUUCCUCAUCAAAACAUAAGUCUGCAUUUUGAAAAGGAAAAACCCAAUGAAAUAUGUUCGUACUUCGUAUAGACCGUGGAGUGGGGUGUGAAAAAAACAAAGAAAUAGACACGUGCUUGAAAUCCGGCCGUGCACAUUACCCCAUUGGAAAACAGCGGUUUCAUCCUCCUUACUCUUUGAGCGUUGAGUGGAUUCACAAACAAAACAAUGGGCACGUACUGCGGACUGCCCCACACCAACACUGAGGGCCAACUAUGUAGGUGAAUACCCAAUUAUACCUACAUGAAUCAGCCGUCAAUCUUACAAAUCCAAGGGCAAAGUAGUCAUUCCAAUUCAAACCAAACCAAGCCAUGAUUCAUGAAAACUGCUGGCCACAGCUCCCGGUUUUUCCCUAACUUUGGGCACCAAAUCCAACCCAUCUCUUGCUAUAUAACCAACCCACCUUCACUUCAUCUUCUUCAUCACAACACAACUACCUUGAUUUACAGAGAGAUCUUCUAUAUCCAUUCACUACUCAGAAUCACCUCUUUCUAUUGUUGAUUGUUGUUUGGGUUUCGGAGAAAGAAAAUUAAGAUGAGUCAUAUGGGGAAAGCUUGGUUAGUGGCAGCAAGUGUGGGAGCAGUGGAGGCACUCAAGGAUCAGGGCUUCUGCAGAUGGAACUACACUCUGAGGUCUAUUCACCAGCAUGCCAAGACCAACCUCAGGUCCUUUGCUCAGGCCAAGAAGCUCUCUUCUUCCUCUUCUGCCAUGGUUUCCAGCAGAGUGAGGGAGGAGAAGGCCAAGCAGUCAGAGGAGUCUCUGAGGACUGUCAUGUACUUGAGCUGCUGGGGACCCAACUGAAGAAGAAGAUAUGAAGAUGGAUGAUCAUCAGCCUGCACUUGAAGCAUCCAGAGAGGGCAUAUUCCAAGAAAGUUAUGGAAAAUUAAGAUGAAGAAACUGCAGUGAAGCAAUUUCAUGGAAUUUUUGCUUGGAGACUCCCGAAUUACAACCAAUUGCUCAGGGUUGGGAAAAUUGGAAUUGCUGUAAAUUGUGACUGGUUCUUUGUAAAACCCAAAUCAUUUAGCUAGAAAUUGAAAAUACAUUUUAAUUUAAUUUAUAGUUUCUCUGUUAGAAUAUUAGACCCAAUUCCUAAAAAGCUUGUCAGUCUUGUAUUAGACCCAAGCUCAAGCGCAUUAAGAAAAAAUAUGGCAGAUUUGGUCACAUAGGGGAUGAAGAGGUGAUAAAGUAGAUACAACGCCCAAAAUUAAACUCUCAAUCAAUUUAAUUGAACAAAUAAUCAUAAAAGAGAUUUUUUAAAUUUAUGAUUUUUGAAAAAGAAAAUUCCAGUGAAAUAUGUUCAUGUAGACUGUGUGGUAGGAUGAAGACUAAACAAAGAAAUGGACACGUGGUUGAAGUCCGGCCCUACACAUUGCCCCAUUGGAAAACAGUGGUUUCAUCCUCCGUACUCUUUGGGCGUUAAGUGGGUUCACAAACCAAACAAUGGGCUGCCUUAACGUGGUGUUUAUUUUUUUACUUAAUUCUAAAUAGAAUCUUAAUAUUUAAUCGUAUUAAAUAUUAGAUUAUUUAUUUUUUAGUAUUUUAUUUUUAUUAAGUAUUAAAAAGUAAAAAAAAUCAUUGUGUUAUUUUUUCUAUUUAGAAAAAAUUAUAUAUUUUGAUUUUUUCUAUUUAGUAAAAAGUUUAUAAUAAGUCAUUAAAAAGUAAAAAAACAAACCAUCUAAAUUCUAAAACUAAAUGAUUUUUAGCAAAAAGCCAAAAAAACAAACACCACUUUAGACUGAGGACAAACUAUGUAGGUGAAUAUCCCAUUAUACCUACAUGAAUCAGUGGUCAAUCUUACAAAUCUAAGGACAGAGUAGUAAUUCCAAUUCAAACCAAACAAAGCUAUGAGAACUGCUGGCCACAGCCUCUGGUUUCCCCAAAACUUUGGGCAGUAUUCCUCAAAGAAUCAAGUGGGCUAGAUUUAACAACUUCGUCCACCAUGGUUAGAUUAUUGGGGGCUAGAGUAAAUAACUUCAUCCACCAUGGUUAGAUUAUUGGUAUCUCGAUGGGAGAAGUUGUUUUGAUGGAAAAACAUUGUAUUUUAUUAUUUUGUAAAUUUUAUCAUCACUCAUAUAUAUUAUUUUUUAUUUAAAAUUAAAUAAAAAAUUAAAAUUCUUAGAAAAUACGAAAAGAAAGUAUAUCACAAUCUUUAUUUUCUAUUCUAAAAUUAAAAAAUAAAAAUAAAAUUAUGAAGAAAAAAGUACAUUCCAACUUACAUUAAUUAAGGGAUGAUAUACUCUGCAAAUAAAAAAUAUAAAAAAUAAUUAAAGGUUAAAUAAAUCACUUAAUAAAUCGGUAGUAGGGGUUGAUGGUUUCAUUAUUAGACUAUAACAAGGAUUUUCAUUUUCAUUUUCUUUUUAAAUGCAUUUCAUGGUGGUGUAGAAUUUUUUUGUAUAAGGGUUUUUAAAUUGUAAUAUAGAUUAUAUAUAUAGUUGUGUUUUGUCCUAAAUUCUGACUUCCAAGUUUUCAACAUUAUAUAAAAAUCCCUAAAAUCACCUACUUCGUACGUUUUCUAACAUUAUAUAAAAAGCCCUGAAUUCACCUAUUAGAAAAAUGUUAUUUGGUGCGCUAUCAUUACCAUGACCUCAACCUCGUGCAAAGAUAUCGAGUGGUUACUAAUAGUAAAAAAUAAAUAAUAAAAACAAAAUAUAUUCAUUAUUAUUAUUAUUAUUAUUUUGUACUUUUACCAUCCAUUAUUCACAUCUUAGCAUAUGAUAGAAAAGAUGAUAAAAGAUUAUUUAUGUUGUAUGAUUUUAAGUGAAAUGAUCAAAAUAUUUAAAGAAAAAAUUAAUAAUUCAUGAAGAAUUUUUGGUAAAUUUAUAAAUUUGUAAUAAAUAUUGAUAAAUGAUAAACAAAGUAGUUUUUAAAGUGGUUGCAGUAGUUAAACAUUGUAUCUUAUUAUGAUUUUCCACCUUCAAAACUUAAUAAUAAAAUUUCAUAACAAAUUUUUAUCUAUUUGAAACUUUUGAAAUGUGGAAUCUUUUCUUGGACAUUUUUAUAUAUACAUUUGUGAAUUUUAUCUUUAUUUUUUAUUUAUAAAAUUAAAGGAUAAAAUUAAAAUGUUAAAAAUAAAAGAGAAGUAUAUCCCAACUUGCAUCAAUUAAGAGAAGAUAUAUAAAGCACAUGAAGAAUGCAAAAAAAAUUAAUGAUAAAAUAAAUCACUUAUUAGAUAGUAUUUAAUGAUUUACAUUAUUAGAUUGUAGAAAUGAGUUAUAUUUUUAUUUUUGUGUAUAGGGGAUUUUAAAUUAUAAUAUAUAUUUUUAUUUUUGAGUUAGUUUUCUUUGUUGAUACAUAGUUUUUUUUUUGUCUUGGAUAUUGUGUUAUCAGCAGUUUUAAAAGAAAUAAAAAUUAUUUAUCCCACAUCGAUUCAAAACUAAAAAUAUUAUAUAUAUUUAUUAAAACUUUGAUACCCUUAAAAAAUACAAGUACAACCAAUAAGCAAGCAUAGGGAUGACAACGGGGCGGGUAUGGGACAUGCCACCCCUACCCCAUUUCCAUCCCGGUUAUAUAUUUUUUUGCCCAUCCCUGUCCCAAACUCGGGGCGGGGCGAGUUGGUGUCCCCCUUACCUGUUUACAAAAGAGCUGAUAAUCUCAUCCCCAUCCCAAAUGUAUUUUCGGGAAUUAUGCUUUUACAAAACAUGGGUCUCUGAAAUUUCAAUAAACGUUAUAUGGGUUAUCAUAAACACAUUUAAUCAAGCAUUUGUUGUGCAACAAAACUACAAACUGCACAUAUGAGAACAAAAUGCACAGAUCUACAAAUAAACAACCCAAAAAAUCUCAAAUCCAUAAACCAAAACCAGAAAAAUAUGAAAAACAAGACAUUCUAACAAAGCCUCAAAACUUAGGGUUUUCUUACCUGGAAAUGAGGAAUCCAUAGAAACCCUAAUAAUUUGUUGUCUACGAAUUUGGUUUUUGGUUUUUAGAGCAAAAAUUGUGCUUUUAGGGUGAAAUGGGAAGAAGCAAUUUAGGAAUAAAUGAGAAAACGGGAAGAAAUGAGAAAACGAAAGGCCUUUUACGAGCAAAAGAACCCUGAGCAAUUUAGGAAGAAAUGAGAAAACGGGAAGAAAUGAGAGCGAAAGCCCUCUAACUCUCUCAUGAGCAAAAUAACCCUAAAACUUGAGGAAGAAAUGAUUAUAUGUGUAGGACUUUUUGGGUAUUUUGUAAUGACAUAAGGGUAAAUUGGUAAUUCACAUACGGGGCGGGGCAGAAACUGCAAAACCCAUCCCUGCCUUAAACCCAAUUCGGGUUUUUAUAUAUUCCCCAAACCCUUUUUAUACCCGAAUAGGAUAUUCUCAUACCCGUCCCAAUAGGGACGGGGCGGGUGACCCGAAUUACCCGGAAAAUUGUCAUUCCUAAGCAAGCAUUGAGCUAAAUCCUAAUCUCACAUUCCUACUUGAAACUUUACACUCACAUAAAAACAACUCACCACUUGACUCGAGGGACUAUUCCGUAACUUCUCACUACCAACAACCAGGCACUAUUCAACCUCUCGCUCACUUAUAAAUUCACUCCCUACCUGCAUAUUCAAAACGUAUCUCACUACUAUUCUACUCUACUAUUCUACUUUUCGUGGUUUCAUAUCUCACUAUUAUUCCACUUUUCGCGGUUUCAUAUCUCACUACUAUUCGCGUGUUCAAAGUGUAUCCCUCCCUGAAUUAAUUGUGAAUUAAUUUAGGCUUCAAAGUGUGUUGCUCUACAAUAUCCCUCCCAGUCAGGCCUCAAAGUAAGAACAACAACAUCUACAAUAUCUGCCAUGGCCACACAACCAAGGCAUGCGGUAUGCCGCAUUUUCUCAUGUCCUUUUCCCAUUUUGUUCCCUCUUUUCAUCUCCAUUUUGUUUUCAAUAUCCCCUUACCUUACUCAUAUUCUCUAAAAUUAGAUAAAAUUAUUAAUUUGAUCAUAUUUAUCUAACAUUUUUAAUUAAUACUACUAGUAUCUUAUUUUCAUAAAUCUAAUUGAAUUUCCUACUUAUUUAUUUAUUGUUUUCAUGACAAAACUUCAUCAACUUUCAUAUCUUUCCUUACAAUUCUGAGUUCAACUGUCCUUGCGAAAUACCAAUAUGAGAAUGUUUCCCCAUUUGCCCAACACAACAUAGGUAUGCAAAUCUCCUUAUUUGCAUCAUUUAUAUAUUUCAUGAUGGUUGUGGUUUAUGAAAUCCUUGAUUCUAAUGGAACUAUCAAAAUUGAAGAAGAUGGAAGAUAUCUCCUUAUUUUGAGUCAUGUUCGGUUCUUAAGUGGAACAGCAGCUGCAACUUUGUUGAUCCUGAUCUUGAUCCCAUAUUUUGGAUGGUUCUUUCUGAUCAUGUGGACCAUGUUCUUAGUGAAAAUAACAUGCUAUUGGGAUAAAACAUUUUAUAACUUUGACAUGUUCAAGAAUAAAAAAAAAUGCCAAUGAUAGGGAAGGAGGACAAGAGGAGCAACGACUCCAAGUUUAGAGUAGGUUUGGUCCAUCAGAGGUUAUUAGCAAAAAACAUAUUUUCUUCUUGUACUUUCGAAAGUGUUAAAUAAGUGUUAUAUUUUGAGUAAUGAGAGUAUUUUUUUCCUUUUUUCUUUUUUUCUAAUACAUUAUUGGUGAUUAUUCUUCGUCGGAAUACCCACAAGGCUAUUAGAUGUUUCAUUGCAAAAUAUGGUUUUAUAUGAUAGCAUUACGAUUGAACUAAUAAAACAUAUUUUUUGCAUAUUGUUUAGUUGGACCCCCCGACUACCUCUCGGUAAUAUCCUCUUAACAUAGGAAGUAUAAACUAAUAGCAAGUGCUAAUCUUUCCCAUUCUUACACAAGAAAGACCCAAGGAGAAGGUAUAUUUAGAAAUUGCAUAUCUAUGUUCCCAAACAAUAGAAAAUUCAAUAUAUGGCACUUCACUCUCUACUUUUCUUUCCCACAUUUUCUCAUAACCCAAAUAUGCUCACCUCUCAUUCUAAGAUCCAACCAUUGAAAAACAAUUACAAAAAUCCUAAUAAAAGAGAUAGAUCAUACUACAAUUACACUUUCUUACAAGAAAUUGAAGUGUAGAAGGUAUAACAAUUGAGUGAAACAAAUAAAAACCAACCUCCUUUAACACACAUGCUAAUGAAAUACUUGCAGAGACACUUUAAAUUUCUCCAGACUCCAAGAGAUAUUGAACAACAGCCUCGACACCUGCAGCGACGAGACCAUCACCUGAUACGAUAUAAUGCACAAACUCGGCACGGAAUCAAUAAGACUUGGUUGGAUUACAAAUUUUUUUUCAAACAUUCUCUUUUUCUUUCCAAUCACAAUAAAACAUCAGAAUAUUUUCAAAAAUAAAAAUCAGAAAUUCACCUUUCAAAAGCAAACACCCAUGAUUCUGAAAUUGGAGCUUUUAACCUAAAAGAUCAAAGAAGAUGAAGAAGAAAAAACCCAACCCCUGACUCGUUCGGAAAUAAGAGGAGAAACCACCGAAGGAUGAGGGCAUGAUUUAGGAUUUACUUACUUGAUUUUCCUAAAAAUCGAGAAUCAUCGGAGGGUGGAGGUUUGGUGUCAACGGUGGUAACUCGUCAAGUGGAUUGAAUCUUACAACAGCGACGUCGGCCAGGCAACCCUCUCACAGUCAGAUUGCUCUCCCUUCGGGGUCUUGCAUAGUUGCAAAUUUGCAAUUGUAGGUGGUGUCAUCUGUCGACGGUCUUGACAACAAUGGUGUUGUGCGAGUAUGGAAGAUUGGGAGCCUAAAUUGGUAAAGUAAAAAAUGCAUUUUAUAUGGAUUUACAUUGAUGAUAUGAGAUAGGAUUUGAUGGUAACAUAUUAAAUUAAAUUAAAUGAUUGAGUCCAAAAUGAUAUGGAUGGUAUGAGAUAGGAUUUAAUGAAAAAUUAAAUGUAUUUAUAUGGCAGAUUGAGAAUUAAAUCCACAAUUCUUAGUAGUAUUAUAAAUGGCUUUGAGUUAAAUGUGAAAAAGUUUUAUUAAUUUUUUAAGCUUAUUAAAUUUAUAUCUAUUUUUUAUAUAUAAUUUACAUAAUAUUUUUAUAAUUUUUUGAAAUUUCUAAUUAUCUUAUUUUGCGUGUUGCUUGAUAUUGAAUCAAGAUGUUGAGACCAACAUAUCUCGGGAACAUCUGAGUUAAUGAUCGAUAUCGCGACUUUGAACCAUGCUCGUCUCCAAUCCCUUAACAAUGAUGAAAAAUGAGGGCAACACAAUUACCCUUUUUAUUAUUAUCUGUUCAAAAUAAUACAUGCAUUAUAAUAUAAUUUUUUAAAAAUAUUUUACAAAAAAAUAUAUGUGGACCCCGUAUUUAGGCUCAUGCGUUUCCACUCGAUGGCGAGCUUGAUUUUAUUUUGAAAAUAAUUUUAUUUAUUAGAAAAUGACUUGGAGUCGCCACUUAUUUUUGUUUUAUUUUUAAAGGGUAAACAAAAUAAGAAAGAAAACCCUAAGUGUGACUCCUUAUUUUGGAAAAGGUGGUCUGUAAAAAAUUGGAUCGAGUUUGGGGGUCAGGUUACUUAUCGGGAAGGUACGGUAAAGACCGUAGCACCCCUUUAAGUCCCCAAAGUCGGGUCUCUACUAAUAAAAUGAAGUUGACGCAACAAUCAAUAAUAAAAACAAUGAAUACCGACAUGAUCACAUAUUGAAAGCCAAAACAUAUAAGGAUGAUGGUUAGAGUGAGAAAAAAUGCGUACCUGAUCAGCAAGCGGCAACGCGCUAUCAUAAAAUGAGGUUAGUGCACAAAUAAUGGACAUAAAACAUAGCUCACAAGCCACUGAAUCGAGUACAAAAUCAUCAGAUAUCACAAUUAAGUCAAAUUUAUUUUUCGGGGAAACAAUCACUGAUGUUGGGCCUUCACCAAAACCCAAUUUAUUCCUGUAUGAAUUAAUUUCGUAAAUUCCAUCACUUGGAAUUACAGAAUUUAAUUCACACUUAUUUUUAAAAUGUUUUAGAAAUCAUGGAAGUUAUGGAAAUCCAUGCCGAAGAAAAUGGCAACAAAAUUUUAUUAAAAAUGUGAUUUUUGGGACUUGAAAGCUCUAAGGAUGAAGAAUCUGGAAAAUAAUGCGAAAAAAAUGAGAUUUGGAAAAAAAUAUUUUUUUAAACCAAGAAUGGUGAAAAUGAGAAAAAAAAAAAAAAAGGAAGUGACACGUGGCAUAAGGGUGGCCAUGCAAAGGUGGCCAUGCACCAUUCCAAACAAAUCUAACCCCACUUGCUUUUAUUUGAUCCUGAUCUUAAUCCCAUAUUUUGGAUGGUUCCUUCUGGUCAUGUGGACCAUGUUCUUAGUUAAAAUAACAUGCUAUUGGGAUAAAACAUUUUAUAACUUUGACAUGUUCAAGAAUAAAAAAAAUGUCAAUGAUAAGGAAGGAGGACAAGAGGUGCAGCGACCCCAAGUUUAGAAUAGGUUUGGUCCAUAAGAAGUUAUUAACAAAAAAACAUAUUUUCUUCUUGUACUUUUGAAAGUGUUAUAUUUUGAGUAAUGAGAGUAUUUUUUUUUUCCUUUUUUCUUUUUCUUUAAUACAUUAUUGGUGAUUAUUCUUCGCUGGAAUACCCACAUGGCUAUUAGAUGUUUCAUUGCAAAUAUGGUUUUAUAUGAUAGAAUUAUGAUUGAACUUAUAAAACAUAUUUUCUGCAUAUUGUUUAGCUGGGCCUCCCAACUACCUCUCGGUAAUAUCCUCUUAACAUAGGAAGUAUAAACUAAUAGCAAGUGCUAAUAUUUCCCAUUCUUACACAAGAAAGACCCAAGGAAAAGGUAUAUUUAGAAAUUUCAUUUCUAUGUUCCCAAACAAUAGAAAAUUCAAUAUAUGGCACUUCACUCUCUACUUUUCUUUCCCACAUUUUCUCAUAACCCAAAUAUGCUCACCUCUCAUUCCAAGAUCCAACCAAAAUUGAAAAACAAUUACAAAAAUCCUAAUAAAAGAGACAGAUUAUACUACAAUUACACUUUCUUACAAGAAAUUGAAGUGCAUAAGGUAUAACAAUUGAGUGGAACAAAUAAAAACCAGCCUCCUUUAACACAUUUGCUAAUGAAAUACUUGCAGAGACACUUUAAAUUCCUCCAGACUCCAAAAGAUACUGAUCAACAGCCUCGGCACCUGCAGCGACGAGACCAACACCUGAUACGAUAUAAUGCACAAACUCGGCAUGAAAUCAGUAAGACUCAGUUAGAUUACAGAAAAAUUUUCAAACAUUCUUUUUUUCUUUCCAAUCAUAAUAAAACAUCAGAGUAUUUUCAAAAAUAAAAAUCAAAGAUUCCCCUUUCAAAAGCAAACACCUAUGAUUCUGAAAUUGGAGCUUUUAACCCAGAAGAUAAAAAAAGACGAAAAAGAAAAAACCCAACCCCUGACCCGUUCGGAAAUAAGAGGAGAAACCACCGAAUGAUGAGGGCAUGAUUUAGGAUUUACUUACCUGAUUUUCCUAAAAAUCGAGAAUCAUCGGAGGGUGGAGGUUUGGUGUCGGUGGUGGUAACUCGUCAAGUGGACUGAAUCUUACAACGGCGACGUCGGCCAGGCAACCCCUCAUAGUCAGAUUGCUCCCCAUCCGAGGUCUUUCAUAGUUGCAAAUUUGCAAUUGCAGGUGGUGUCAUCUAUCGAUAGUCUUGACAGCAACGGUGGUGUGCAAGGUGUGCGAGAUUGGGAGCCCAAAUUGGUAAAGUAAAAAAUGCAUUUUAUAUGGAUUUACAUUGAUGAUAUGAGAUAGGAUUUGAUGGUAACUUAUUAAAUUAAAUUAAAUGACUGAGUCCAAAAUGAUAUGGAUGGUAUGAGAUGGGAUUUAAUGAAAAAUUAAAUGUAUUUAUGUGGCAGAUUGAGAAUUAAAUCCCCAAUUCUUAGUAUUAUUAUAAAUAGCUUUGAGUUAAAUGUGAAAUUUUUUUGUUUUAUUAAGUUUUUAAGCUUAUUUAAUUUCUAUCUAUUUUUUAUAUAUAAUUUACAUAACAUUUUUAUAAUUUUAUGAAAUUUCUAAUUAUCUUAUUUUGCGUAUUGCUUGAUACUGAAUCAAGAUGUCGAGACUAACAUAUCUCGAGAUCAUCUGAGUCAAUGAUCGAUAUCGCGACUUUGAACCAUACUUGUCUCCAAUCCCUCAACAGUGAUGAAAAAUGAGGCCAACACAGUUGCCUUUUUUAUUAUUAUCAGUUAAAAAUAAUGAAUCUAUAUCCAUGUAUUAUCAAGAAUAAAUAAGUUUAUAUUUAUAAAUUUUUAUUAUAAAUUUAUAUUUACACAUAUCCUUGAUUUUCCUCAAGGUCUUAUUUUUAAUUGAUUACAAAGCAUUAGUACUUAUUUAAUUUAAAAUGUAUUAAAUAAAUAUUAAUAUUACAUAAAUAAAUAAAAGUUGAAUUUGAAUAAAAAUUAUAUAUAUAUAUAUAUAUAUCAUAUUCUACAUGAAUAUGAAUCUAUUAUUAAAGAUACAUGGUAAUAAGUGUUAAUAUUAUAUAAUCAAAUGAGAGUACAAAAAUUUUCUAUUAUUAACAAUACAUUAUUAUAAUAAUGAAAUACUUAAUAUCAUGUAAAUAAAUAAAAGUCAUCAUAAAUUUAAAUUUGAAUUUAUAUUUUUAAACCCAUCAAAUUUAUUUUUAUUUAUUUUUAAUUUUAAGAAUUUUUUCUCCACUUCAAAUAGCAAUAAUAGUGUUUAUUCAUACUAAUUAUACUUAAAAUUGAUGAAAUUUAUGAAAAAAGAAGAAGUAAAAACCCAUACCCUUCAAAUUUACAUUUGUUUUAAUUUUAAGAUUUUUUUUCUCUACUUCAAGUAAUAAUAAUAAUAAUGUUUAUUCAUACUAAUAGCAAUAAAAUUAACGAAAAUGAUGAAAAAUAAAAAAUAAAAAAUAAAUAGUAAAAACUUCAAAAUUUUAAUAAUAAUAAUAAUAUUUAUUCAUACUAAUAAACAAUUCUUCAUAAUCAUAACCUACUAAUUUCCAACAAUUAUAAUUGAAAUUGUUUUGAAUAAACAAUGUAAUUUGUAUUUGAAGUUGAAGAAAAUUGUGAAAAUUAAAUGGGAAGGGUAGGGUUUUAAUUUUUUAUUUUAUUUAAAAUUUUUCCCUCAUUAAUUAAUUAAUUAAUUAAUUAAUUUAUUUAUUUAUUUAUGAAUUUUGAGUGAAAUUAUUAUGAAUCAACAAUUUUAUUGAUAUUUAAAGUUUAAAAAAAAAAAAUCUAUGAAUUUUAAAUAAAUUUUGGAAGGUAUUUGUAAUGGGGUAUUUUUAUUUGCACUUUCCUAUUAUGUUGAAAUAUUGUUUGGUUUCAACAUUGUUUAUUCAAAAUAAUUUCAAUUAUAAUUAUUGGAAAUUAGGAGGUUAUGAUUAUGAAGAAUUGUUUAUUAGUAUGAAUAAACAUUAUUAUUAUUAUUAUUAUUAUUAUUUGAAGCAGAGAAAAAAAUUCAUAAUGCAUAGGGAGACCACAGAUUCUAUGGAUUCAACAAUUGAUAAACCUACUUGUUUAUGUUAUUGUCCCUAACCAUCUAUUCCAUUUUUGAAUUUACUUUUGGUGCAUUUAGUUUGUAACUUAUCUUAUGUUUUACUUAUUUUCAAUUUUUUUUUUUUAAGGUUAAGAUAGUAGUUUUUUUUUUUUUUAAAAAAAAAAAAAAAAACUCUUUUGAGCAAUACUUGAUUCUCUUGCUAUUCUUAUUUUUAACCAUUUUUUCAAUAAGAAAUUAUUUCUUUUUGGCGGAAUUGUAGGAAGUGGAUUGAAUCGGAAAAUUUAUUUGGGCCAGAUUGUGUUUCACUAGAGUCUUGAGAGAUGCAGCUUAGUGAGCUUAUAAUAAAAAGGUAGGCAUUUAAACGGACCAUACUGGUCCGAGUCAAUCUUAGUUUGGCCUAGUGGGCCUUCGGAAUUGCUCCAACAUGAAUUUCAAUGUCAACUUCAAUUUUUAAAAUUAAUAAUUAUACAUUUGUUUUAACUAUUUAUAACAAAUAUUAUCUUUGAAAAGUAAAUUUCAAUUAAUUUUUAUAUUUAAAUAAAAAUUAUUAUUAUUUUAAUUAUUUGUAUCCAAAUCAUACCCGAUAUAUUUGAUUUAUCUUACAAUGUUUCAACAUAAUAGGAAAUUGCAAAUAAAAAUACCCCAUUACAAAUACCUUCCAAAAUUUAUUUAAAAUUCAUAUAUAUUUAUAUAUAUAUAUAUAUAUAUAUAUAUAUAUAUAUAUGAAUUUUAAAUAUCAAUAAAAUUGUUGAUUCAUAAUAAUUUCACUUAGAAUUCAUAAAAAAAUACGAGGAAAAAAAUUAAAAUAAAAAUUUUUAAGAUCCCUACCCUUCCCAUUUAAUUUUAACAAUUUUUUUCUGAGCAUUGAUUUGUUGAUCGAUUAUCAAGGGCCACUCAUUUGCUUUGUUGGAUCUAACUCUCUGUAUGCAUGCUCUGUUUUGGCUUUGUUUGUUUUUUUUUUUUUUUUUUAUCUUUGCUUUCUCUUGUAAAUAUCUGAUGCAUUGUUCCUUCUCUGAACUUGAGAUAUAAAAAUCAUGCUCUUGUUCCUUGUGGAUUCCACCUUCUCCUAGCUCUUUGACAAUCCAUGAAAUAGAGCUAAGUUCAUACUCUAUUUUUAUGUUUUUAUUCUUCUUUGUUUGUUGUUGAUGGUGGGAUGAUAUUAUCAAUGGCUAAGUUGCUGGGAUUUGAGGAGUGAGGUUAUGGGGAAGUGAACUUAAUGGAGGAUUUCUAUGAUCAUAUCUAUGCUCCAAUCUAUUGGUUCAAAAUGUUGGCCAUGAGACUGCAUUGAAGUUUUGGUAUUUGGGAUCACUUUGCCAUCCGGGUUCAGUAAGCAACACAGUGGCAAUAAAGAUGCAUUGGUGUUAUUAAUUUGGGUGAAUAAGUUGGUUGUAUGAAUCGUGAAAGUUCAGGUUGUGCUUUGAGGAGAGUAUAUCUUGCAUCCUAUUAUUUUAAUUAUUAAUUUUGGAUGUUGAAAUAUGAUGUGAUCGCACUUCAUACAUCAUGGUUGUGUGAGGAAAAAGAAAGAUUGAAGAAAUGGUUGUGUGAAAUGGAAAUAAGAAUGAAAAGACCCUGGAGAGGGCAAAAAUGAAAAGAAAAAAAAAAUGAAAUGAUCCCAGAGAGGGCAAAUUAAGAAGGAAGUGAGAUCUUUAAGGUGAAAGUCCCAAAAGUUUACUUCGGGAAGACUCCGAAUGGGGAGUAUAUUUAGGUACAGAUGUGUAUCCUUUGGUGAAAGCUUGAGAACCAUAGUGCAUUGUGUGAUUGCGUGUAAGCAUUUGCAUCAUAAUUGCGUUUGGAAGAAGGAUUUGUAUUAUUUAUCAAGUGUAUGUUUGAAUAUAUUAUUCAAAACUAAAAUGACUUGUUUAUUUUGUAAAUUUAGAAUUGUUGAUAUACUAAACAUAUGAUUGAAUAAGGAAAAUGAUAAUUUUGAUUGUUUUAAAUUUAUAUGGUUAAGGUUUCUUUUAAUGUAUAUAUUGUAAAUGUAAUAUUGUAUUUUGACAUAUGGUUGUGUUAUUGACCUAGAAUUUCUAACCUAUUUGGGUGUAAAACACCCUACUGAGCAACGUGGAAAUGCCCAUCUCUUUAUUUUCUAAAAUUUUAGAUGCAAAUAUAGUUUCAGAGGGACCACAAGAAGUUCAAGAAGCGUUCUAGAAAGUAAAAGAACUAUAAUAAUAGUUGUUUUUAAAUUUAUAUUUCUCUUUUUAUAUGUACCAAUUUGAGUUAUAUGGACUUUUGUAUGUUAAAUUAUAUUUUGUUAAAUUGUAAAAUAUUUUUGGAAAUAUUUUUUUUAACUUAGAGAUUAUUGUAAAUAUUUCAGCUUUUGGGCAGAAAGAUGACUGGUGGAUUUAUUAUACUUGUGAAUAAGAGAUAGUGUGAUGGUUGGUUUUAGAAAAAUAAAAUAUUAUAGUAAAUCUUAACUUAAUAAGAGCAGGAUGAUCAUCAGCCUGCUCUUGAAGCAUCCAGGGAGGGCAUAUUCCAAGAAAGUUACGAAAAAUUGAGAUGAAGAAACUGCAGUGAAGCAAUUUCAUGGAAUUUUUGCUUGGAGACUCACGAAUUACAACCAAUUGCUCAGGGUUGGGAAAAUUGGAAUUGGUGUAAAUUGUGACUGGGUCUUUGUAAAACCCACAUCAUUUAGCUAGAAAAGCUUUGAAAAUACAUUUUAAUUUAAUUUAUAAUUUCUAUGUUAGAAUAUUAGAUCCAAUUCCUAAAAAGCUUAUCAGCCUUGUAUAUAUGGCUAAGCAGGUCAACUUCCCAAGCUCAAGCGCAUUAAGAAAUUCUCAGACCUACCUUUUUUUUAUAGGAUUUUUGGGAAGUUUUACAGCAAUUGAAAACAAAUCCUAAAAGGGUCGGGAAAUUAUUUGAAAAAAUAUGGCAGAUUUGGUCACAUAGGGGACAAAGAUGUGAUAAAGUUGGUACAACGCCCAAAAUUAAACUCUCAAUUAAUUUAAUUAAACAAAUAAUCA
rnacentral:lncRNA from 1 species